rnacentral:tRNA from 3 species
GGCUAGGUAGCUCAGCUGGUUAGAGCACAUGACUCAUAAUCAUGGGGUCGGCGGUUCAAGUCCGCCCCUAGCCACCA